UUUUAAAAAAGUGCGUUAAGGAUUGAAAUGGCAUCCUUUUUUCUUUUUCAGAAAAAAGAUACAAUGGAAAGCCUGUUAAAAC
rnacentral:sRNA from 1 species